GACCUACCCAUGCGGACAUUUGAUAUCAACAAACUCAUCGAGUCAAAAUUGAGAGAUAUUUCUCGAAACUUCCGAUCCCAAAAUCCGUGAAAAUGUCUUCUUUCUUACAUCCCUUGAAGGCAGUAAUAUGUUGUAGCCUUAAUAUUGCACCAAAUCACAGUAUUUAUCAAUUUGUUGAGAUGGACUUCGAUAUUUUUUAACAGAUGUUUUGUCUGAAGUCCGCUAUUCUCUGCAGCAUAUUUGCAUACAUACACAGUGUCCUAAUUAUAAAUCCU